CAGCAGCCGCGGUAAUACGAAGGGUGCAAGCGUUACUCGGAAUUACUGGGCGUAAAGCGUGCGUAGGUGGUGGUUUAAGUCCGUUGUGAAAGCCCUGGGCUCAACCUGGGAAUUGCAGUGGAUACUGGGUCACUAGAGUGUGGUAGAGGAUAGUGGAAUUUCCGGUGUAGCAGUGAAAUGCGUAGAGAUCGGAAGGAACAUCUGUGGCGAAGGCGACUAUCUGGGCCAACACUGACACUGAGGCACGAAAGCGUGGGGAGCAAACAGGAUUAGAUACCCCCGUAGUCCCUGUCUCUGAUAC
rnacentral:rRNA from 1 species